GGAGUAUUAAGCCCUGUUGGUAAGGGAACUAGACUGUCACUCUAGUAAAACUAAGGGUUCGAGUCCCUUAUGCUCCG
rnacentral:tRNA from 3 species